AUACGGGAGGCAGCAGUGGGGAAUCUUGCACAAUGGGGGCAACCCUGAUGCAGCGACGCCGCGUGAGCGAUGAAGCCCUUCGGGGUGUAAAGCUCUUUCGGCAGGGACGAAACAAGACGGUACCUGCAGAAGCAGCUGCGGCUAACUACGUGCCAGCAGCCGCGGUAAUACGUAGGCAGCGAGCGUUGUUCGGAGUUACUGGGCGUAAAGGGUGUGUAGGCGGUUCUCUAAGUUUGGUGUGAAAUCUCCCGGCUUAACCGGGAGGGUGCGCCGAAAACUGGGGGGCUAGAGUGCGGGAUGGGAGAGUGGAAUUCCUGGUGUAGCGGUGAAAUGCGUAGAUAUCAGGAGGAACACCGGUGGUGUAGACGGCUCUCUGGACCGUAACUGACGCUGAGACACGAAAGCGUGGGUAGCAAACAGGAUUAGAUACCCCGGUAGU
rnacentral:rRNA from 1 species